rnacentral:rRNA from 1 species
AUUAGUGGCCAAACCUCCUUGUCAAAGCCUGAUCUCAUCAGAUCUCAGAGGCUCAGCAGGGCUGGGCCUGGUCAGGACUUGAACAGGAGACCACCGUGAAUAUCAGGUGCCACAGGUG